CCCACCGAAGACGCGCUGGCCGCAAGCCGGGCGGCAGGGAGCAAGCAGGCGCUUAACCCUGGCCGGCCGGGAGCCCCAGACGCCACCUGCCUCCUCCUCCUCGACUGGAAGCUCCUCUUCGGACCGUUUCCCGAACUUUAAUGACGGGCAAUCAGCGCGAGCCUACAAAUUUCUAGUGAAGAAAGCUUCAUUUGACAAUAAAGCAGAGCUGCACCUGGGAAGCACAAAUGAAGGUCUCGGUGCCCCUUCAUUCUUGAACUGGGAAAAGUUAGCAGAUCAAGGGAGCAGACUCUGCCAGGCUGCAAUCCCCAGUCACCAGCUGUAUGAAACACCUACAGGACUCACACUACUGACAAAGCACAGAGCCACCUGCCUAGCCCCUGUGAUGGUCAAGAAUAUAAACUGCCAGUGUUGCUGCCAAGAUGCCUCAAGGGAAAAUACCAGCAACCAGUGCACUCCCAGUCCAACCUGAGCAACCAGUAAGGGCAGCUGUUGGUGCUGAAUGUGGGCGGAAGCAGGGGACCAGACGACAUCUACUUGGAAACAUGUAUCACACCACUGUCUUCUUUGAGCUCCUGUUGAUCUCUUUUUCCACAAGGUUUUUGUCUUGUUUAAUGUCUACUCUAGCCCCGGGUUCCUAGGGACAUUUACCUAGAUGAGAAAAGGCCAGUGGCUCAGACUUUUGAAUGUUUAUUACUCAUUUGAAAUAAGAAAUCAGGUUUGAAAAUAU